UACAGAGGUGGCAAGCGUUGUUCGGAAUUACUGGGCGUAAAGGGCGCGUAGGCGGCCUUGUAAGUCUCGUGUGAAAGCCCUCGGCUUAACUGAGGAUCUGCACGGGAUACUGUAGGGCUCGAGUUCGGGAGAGGAAAGCGGAAUUCCGGGUGUAGCGGUGAAAUGCGUAGAUAUCCGGAGGAACACCAGUGGCGAAGGCGGCUUUCUGGACCGACACUGACGCUGAGGUACGAAAGCGUGGGGAGCAAACAGGAUUAGAUACCCCAGUAGU
rnacentral:rRNA from 1 species